UAACUGCGAUAAGUAGCGUGAAUUGCAGACGCUUUGAACGUUAAACUUUCGAACGCACAUUGCGCCGUAGGAGUCCUACCCUACGGCACAUCUGGUUGAGGGUCGUGAUCAAAAACAGUUGGAAAGAUGCUGUUAGUAAAAGUAGCUGGUGAAUCACAAGUUCGGCCUAAGCCUCUGGUUGAAUGUGGUUUGCCAUAAUGCUAUAGAGGACAUCCGUCUUAAGGAUGCCUACCACACGGAUGGUCUAGCAGUGGUUGAGCUAGAUCCCGGUCUGAGGGUAUCAUGCAUUCGUAUACUCUUAGGCGUCAGGGAGGCCGCUGCUAUGCCCCAUACGUGCCUGGUUCAUGAGAGUUUCGCUCUCCCGACCUCAACUCAGGUGUGAUUACCCGCUGAACUUAA
rnacentral:misc_RNA from 1 species